ensembl:lncRNA
UGGGUUCCUCCCAACUGGAGGAAGAGGCAGAGGCAUCUACAUCACAGGCUGUUUGUUGUAGGUUGAUUCAUGAGCAUACAUAGCCUUAGAACCAGCAAAUUGACAAAUCUACACCUUGAGUUAGGAGGUGGAAGAAUCCAACCAGCGCAGAGCAUCUCUGAUAAGUUACCAAAGACUUGAAAAUGCCACUCAGAAAUAAGGAUGCUGGGGUAGGUAAGGCCUGUCCUCCCCCAGGAACCCCCAGUAGCAUGGUUUGGGAUUACUAUUUUCUCAUAUUCCGCCCCAAAUCACUACCCUUAGUGAAGCUUGUCUGGAUUAGACAGAAAAGGCCUCUGCUACAAAUAUGAGGCCACCUGGAAGGAUGGAUCUCAGGGGGGGUGACAUUUUGCAGCCUUCUACAGUCUCUAUCCCCAGUAGUCUGGGUAAUGCUUGUGAACCGAGUUAUUGGGAAGAACAUGGAAUUUGGAGUCAGGAGAGCGACGUUCUAACCAUUAUCUACUAAAUCUCUAAGUUCUCUUCUAGUUCUAAAAAUAUGUAUAAAAAGAGUAGAUCUUUAAAGAGAAAACCCAGGGCUGGACUGCCAAAUAGGUGACAGAAAAGUGAUCCAAUUCUACCCCAUAGGGACUUAGGUCACACUCCUUCAUCUGGAGCCCAUAUAGAGCCUCAAAAUCCUUCUCUACCCACUCCUUUGGGCAACUUCUGCAAAACGCUCUGAAUCAGCCCCUGAGCUGAACCUUCUUUGCCAUCCCUGAAGCCAUCGUCUUGGACUGUGAUGAUGUUCACAAAGAUUGGGAAGCUUUUCCUGCAAAUCUUCACCCGGAUCUGGGAAAAUUCUGCUCUCUGCCUGAGGGAUGCAGAUGAGGACAGUCCUGCUCCUUUGUGUGGCUUUGGAGGGCGUACAGGAUACAGAGAGAACGUGACUUGAAGAAAUGACGCUGUCUGUGAGUCCAGUUUAUUUGUGGACUCCUGAGGCUUGAGUGUAACCAGAGUAAAAUAAACGUAUAUAUGGAAACUGUAUCUGUGAAUUGCAUCCUAACCACUGUUUCCAUCUCUUUCUCUUUGCCUUUUAAUAUAGUUGAAAUGUCCCAAUAUGAGCUAGAAAACGUCUGUGUUUGUUGAUGAAAUCCAAUUGUAUGGAUAUGAUGGUGUUCAUAAAUCCUCUAAAUUCAGUGCUCUGGAAUUUUCCCAGAUUGAAAUCAAAUACACUCCUGCCUGGCUCUCAAAUUCCAAGUCAGUGGUAUCUCCCACCACACACAGCCUGUCCGUGACAUUCCUGUGGGAGGUUAUCACAAUGCAGGGACUGUGUGAGUACUCAGGGCUUAUCUAAUCAUGUUUGCUUGACACUUGUUUUACUGUGUCCAGAUCUCACCAGCUGAUCAAGUGACCGGACUGUCUAGUGAGCUGGAAAAAAAGAGAGCUUCCUACAGAUGCUUGCCCUUGUUUUAAACUCAUUCUCCGGCAAGUUAGAGGAGUUUCAUCUCACAGCUUGGACUACAUCAUUCCUGGUCAAUCACUGCCUUGGAAACCUGAGCCCUAUCCUAGCUCUCUAGUUUCAGGGAACAUUCCUGAAUGGGGCAGGUGUUUGGUCAAGAUGAUUCUUAAGGUCUUUUCCAAUUCUCCGUUUUGUGGAUGCUGAGAUCUACUUGCCACAGCAUGUAGCACAGUUCCUCCCUGUUCCCUACAACCCAAAUUGGCAUUCAAUAAAUAUUUGUGGGAUGAAUGAAUGAGUGGAUGAAUAAAUGAACAAACGGACAGAAUUGUCAACUGAUUACAGCCCCAAGUCCUUCUCCCAGUUCGUCCCUGGAAAACCAUUUUGUUUUGGGUAAAAACUCUUGCAGAAAGGACUCCUGGUACCCAAAACCCUCCCCGACAUGCCAGAGUUCCAGUGAUAGGCAAACAACCGUAUCUACUCUAGGGUUUCUCAUGCCGUGGAGAUGUAACUGAUACCCUUCAAAGCAAAAGAGGUUACCAUUUCCACCUCUUAGGAUGGCUACUAUUAAAAAAACGGAAAAUAACAAGUGUUGGUGAGGAUGUGGAGAAAUUGGAACUCUUGUACAUUGCUGAUGGAAAUGCAAAAUGGUACAGCUGCUGUGGGAAACAGGCAGUUUCUGAAAAAGUUAAGCAUAGAAUAACCAUAUAACCCAGAAAUUCCACUCCUAGGUAUAUCCUCAAAAGAAUUGAGGGGUCACCCUGGUGGCACAGUGGUUAAGUUCUCAUGUUCCGCUUUGGUGGCCCAGGGUUCGCCGGUUCAGAUCUUGGGUGUGGACCUAUGCACCACUCAUCAAGCCAUGCUGUGGCAGAUGUCCCACAUAUAAAAUAGAAAAGAUGUUCACAGAUGUUAGGUCAGGGCCAAUCUUCCUCAGCAAAAAGAGAAGGAUUGGCAGCAGAUGUUAGCUAAGGGCUAAUCUUCCUCAAAAAAAAAAAAAAAGUCAAAUUUCCUUAAAAAAAAAAAAAAGAAUUGAAAGCAGGAACUCAGGUACUUUUACAUGAAUGUUCAUAGGAAUAAUAUUCACAAUUGUCAAAAAG